GUUCCUGUAAUUCAAGGGAUAGAAUCUCUGACUUCUAAUCAGAAUAUCUUAGUUCGAGUCUAAGCAGGAACA
rnacentral:tRNA from 1 species